rfam:Selaginella moellendorffii unplaced genomic scaffold SELMOscaffold_88, whole genome shotgun sequence.
AUCAUGGUUUUAUUCAAAACCAUGCAUACAAAAAAUUAAUCAAUGG